ACUCCUACGGGAGGCAGCAGUGGGGAAUAUUGCACAAUGGGGAAACCCUGAUGCAGCCAUGCCGCGUGUGUGAAGAAGGCCUUCGGUUGUAAAGCACUUUCAGUAGGGAGGAAGGUAGUGUAGUUAACACCUGCAUUAUUUGACGUUACCUACAGAAGAAGCACCGGCUAACUCCGUGCCAGCAGCCGCGGUAAUACGGAGGGGUGCGAGCGUUAAUCGGAAUUACUGGGCGUAAAGCGCAUGCAGGCGGCCUGUUAAGUCAGAUGUGAAAGCCCGGGGGCUUAACCUCGGAAUUGCAUUUGAAACUGGCAGGCUAGAGUCUUGUAGAGGGGGUAGAAUUUCAGGUGUAGCGGUGAAAUGCGUAGAGAUCUGAAGGAAUACCAGUGGCGAAGGCGGCCCCCUGGACAAAGACUGACGCUCAGAUGCGAAAGCGUGGGGAGCAAACAGGAUUAGAU
rnacentral:rRNA from 1 species